rnacentral:rRNA from 1 species
GACGAACGCUGGCGGCGUGCUUAACACAUGCAAGUCGAGCGGUAAGGCCCUUUCGGGGGUACACGAGCGGCGAACGGGUGAGUAACACGUGGGUGACCUGCCCUCAGCUCUGGGAUAAGCCUGGGAAACCGGUCUAAUACUGGAUAUGACUCCAUGACGCAUGUUGUGGGGUGGAAAGCCUUGUGCGGCUGGAGGAUGGGCCCGCGGCCUAUCAGCUU